rnacentral:rRNA from 1 species
UACGGGGGGUGCGAGCGUUGUCCGGAAUCACUGGGCGUAAAGGGCGCGUAGGUGGCGUCGUAAGUCUGUGGUGAAAGCCCGGAGCUCAACUCCGGGUCUGCCGCGGAUACUGCGAGGCUUGAGUGCUGUAGAGGGGGGUAGAAUGCCGGGUGUAGCGGUGGAAUGCGUAGAGAUCCGGCAGAAGACCGGUGGCGAAGGCGGUGAGCUGGGCAGUUGCUGACACUGAGGCGCGACAGCGUGGGGAGCAAACAGG